GCUUGCUUGUAGAACAUCUGCAUACAAGUUAAGGGAAUGUCAGCCUCAUGCUGCUGCCUGGACUCCACACACUGCUGCUAUCAUUUCCUAGGAUAGCAAGUUAUCCAGGCAAACAAUGGAACAGCUAUAACUGAUUCUACAGACACAAGGAGGUAUGUCCAAAUUAGGCAUUUAUGGCGGAACUGUUAACCAUUUUGCCCCAGCCCUCCUGAGUCGAUCUACGCCGAAACAUGGUCCCCUUUAUCCCAUGGGGCAUCGGUCCCAGGUGCAGAGUUUUGGCUCCAGUUACCUGGUCCGUGGUGUUGAUCUGGAGCAGGGGCAGACGGAUCUCGUGUGUUGUGGCAGCUUUGGAAGAACAGCGACACAUACUGAUGAGAGGGGCAACACACCAUGCCCCUCUGCUCAACUCGUUCUGAAUAAACGGGCCCCCUCAAGUGAUAAUAUCGACCCAAACCCAGCGCAAAUAUGGCCCCAAAAAUUGUAGAAAGAAAAAUGGGAACAGUGCAAAGCAUAACAAAAACACAAGCGUGGGUGAUCAAAAUCCCAAACUAUGGCAUGUUUUGGUGGUAUUAAUAUUUAAGGCUGCAGCCUGUGGCGUCAUAGAUCUCA